rnacentral:rRNA from 1 species
UGGGGAAUAUUGGACAGUGGGCGAAAGCCUGAUCCAGCCAUGCCGCGGGUGAGAAGAAGGUCUUCGGAUUGUAAAGCACUUUAAGUGGGGAGGAAGGGCAGUAAGCGAAUACCUUGCUGUUUUGACGUUACCGACAGAAUAAGCACCGGCUAACUCUGUGCCAGCAGCCGCGGUAAUACAGAGGGUGCAAGCGUUAAUCGGAAUUACUUGGCGUAAAGCGCGCGUAGGUGGUUCGUUAAGUUGAAUGUGAAAGCCCCGGGCUCAACCUGGGAACUGCAUCCAAAACUGGCGAGCUAUAGUAGGGCAGAGGGUGGUGUAAUUUCCUGUGUAGCGGUGAAAUGCGUAGAUAUAGGAAGGAACACCAGUGGCGAAGGCGACCACCUGGGCUCAUACUGACACUGAGGUGCGAAAGCGUGGGGAGCAAACAGG